rnacentral:rRNA from 1 species
CCUACGGGAGGCUGCAGUAGGGAAUCUUCCACAAUGGACGAAAGUCUGAUGGAGCAACGCCGCGUGAGUGAAGAAGGGUUUCGGCUCGUAAAGCUCUGUUGGUAGUGAAGAAAGAUAGAGGUAGUAACUGGCCUUUAUUUGACGGUAAUUACUUAGAAAGUCACGGCUAACUACGUGCCAGCAGCCGCGGUAAUACGUAGGUGGCAAGCGUUGUCCGGAUUUAUUGGCGUAAAGCGAGUGCAGGCGGUUCAAUAAGUCUGAUGGGAAAGCCUUCGGCUCAACCGGAGAAUUGCAUCAGAAACUGUUGAACGUGAGUGCAGAAGAGGAGAGUGGAACUCCAUGUGUAGCGGUGGAAUGCGUAGAUAUAUGGAAGAACACCAGUGGCGAAGGCGACUAUCUGGCACAUAACUGACGCUGAGGAGCGAAAGCGUGGGUAGCAAACAGGAUUAGAUACCCGUGUAGUC